UACGUAGGUGGCAAGCGUUGUCCGGAAUUAUUGGGCGUAAAGCGCGCGCAGGCGGUCCUUUAAGUCUGAUGGGAAAGCCCACGGCUCAACCGUGGAAGGUCAUUGGAAACUGGAGGACUUGAGUACAGAAGAGGAAAGCGGAAUUCCACGUGUAGCGGUGAAAUGCGUAGAGAUGUGGAGGAACACCAGUGGCGAAGGCGGCUUUCUGGUCUGUAACUGACGCUGAGGCGCGAAAGCGUGGGGAGCAAACAGG
rnacentral:rRNA from 1 species